UGGCUGGGGGUGAAAGGCCAAUCAAACCGGGAGAUAGCUGGUUCUCCCCGAAAGCUAUUUAGGUAGCGCCUCGUGAAUUCAUCUUCGGGGGUAGAGCACUGUUUCGGCUAGGGGGUCAUCCCGACUUACCAACCCGAUGCAAACUACGAAUACCGAAGAAUGUUAUCACGGGAGACACACGGCGGGUGCUAACGUCCGUCGUGAAGAGGGAAACAACCCAGACCGCCAGCUAAGGUCCCAAAGUCAUGGUUAAGUGGGAAACGAUGUGGGAAGGCACAGACAGCCAGGAUGUUGGCUUAGAAGCAGCCAUCAUUUAAAGAAAGCGUAAUAGCUCACUGGUCGAGUCGGCCUGCGCGGAAGAUGUAACGGGGCUAAACCAUGCACCGAAGCUGCGGCAGCGACACUAUGUGUUGUUGGGUAGGGGAGCGUUCUGUAAGCCUGCGAAGGUGUGCUGUGAGGCAUGCUGGAGGUAUCAGAAGUGCGAAUGCUGACAUAAGUAACGAUAAAGCGGGUGAAAAGCCCGCUCGCCGGAAGACCAAGGGUUCCUGUCCAACGUUAAUCGGGGCAGGGUGAGUCGACCCCUAAGGCGAGGCCGAAAGGCGUAGUCGAUGGGAAACAGGUUAAUAUUCCUGUACUUGGUGUUACUGCGAAGGGGGGACGGAGAAGGCUAUGUUAGCCGGGCGACGGUUGUCCCGGUUUAAGCAUGUAGGCUGAUUGUCCAGGCAAAUCCGGAUAAUCAAGGCUGAGGUGUGAUGACGAGGCACUACGGUGCUGAAGUAACAAAUGCCCUGCUUCCAGGAAAAGCCUCUAAGCAUCAGGUAACAU
rnacentral:rRNA from 1 species